UGUCUGAGUGGAGUGUGCCAGGAGAAAGCAAAUGUGUGUUCCUGCUGUCCUUGGCUGGAGGACACUGAUGCCCUGAAUAGGAUAGACGCCUGCACUUUUGAACCACCUUGGGUACUCACUGGCCGUAUUACCUUCCUGAGUCAUCUAUUUUAAGAGGAGAUACACUUGCCACCAAGAUGUCUGGGUUCAGAUGGAUUUGAGGAAAAGCCACCACUGCCUCUCCCCACUCCUUAG